GUGUAAUAUUGGGCAUUCUAGAUCACUCUCAGUCGCUUCGCUCCUUCGCUCGCUUCGCUCGCCGUGAUCCAGAAUGCCCAAUCGGUUUUACGUUCGAUAUCUAAUAAUUGUCUCUUCCGUUGACUUACUAAAUGAUCUUAUUCAUAUACAGGGUGCUUUUAACUUUACAUUACUUUGAAUAUGUAUUUAACUUUACUAUGAAACAGCUCUUUUAUUUUUCCUGAUUUCAGAGUUGGUUCCCAUAAUUAAAGUUAUACAAGUAUGACCUAUGUACAUUCACCUGCCAACGGGGUGACCACUAAUAAACAAGCAUUCUGUAUUUAACAUAACUAAAUACACUGGGUAACAUUACUGCCUUAUUUCCAACAGCAAAUAUAUGGUUAUAGGGCACCAUGAUGAUGCUAGUAUUAAAAAUAUACCAAAAUUACUCACCGAUAUAAAUUUUUAUUCACGCCGCAACACACAUCACAUAACACACAUUUUUUUUUUUUUAUUUUUUUUAGGUAGGGGGAAAAUCCAUCAUGGACACCUGGGAAGUGAAGACCCCAGGUAGUGCCGGACUCUUACCGGCUAAAAACCCCCUACCGAUAUUUGGGAGGUGCUUAGACUAUCAAACUAAACCAGACCUCAGGAUUUUCGGGAGGUGUUUAGACUGUCAAACUAAACCAGACCUCAGGAUUUUCGGGAGGUGCUUAGACUAUCAAACUAAGCCAGACCUCAGGAGUUUCGGGAGGUGCUUAGACUGUCAAACUAAGCCAGACCUCGGGAUUUUCGGGAGGUGUUUAGACUAUCAAACUAAGCCAGACCUCAGGAGUUUCGGGAGGUGCUUAGACUAUCAAACUAAGCCAGACCUCGGGAUUUUCGGGAGGUGUUUAGAUUGUCAAACUAAACCAGACCUCAGGAUUUUCGGGAGGUGCUUAGACUAUCAAACUAAGCCAGACCUCAGGAGUUUCGGGAGGUGCUUAGACUAUCAAACUAAGCCUGACCUCGGGAUUUUUGGGAGGUGCUUAGACUAUCAAACUAAGCCAGACCUCAGGAGUUUCGGGAGGUGCUUAGACUAUCAAACUAAGCCAGACCUCGGGAUUUUCGGGAGGUGUUUAGACUAUCAAACUAAGCCAGACCUCAGGAGUCACCACAUGACGUGUCGCGGAUCGCGGUCAUAUGUUAAUUUACAACUUCACUGUGGUAUUCGUGGGUGGUUGUAGUGAACUCGCUCCACUAAAAGAUAAACUUUGUUAUAAUAUAUUUAUAAUCUACUUUAAAAUACGAUACACACAAAACCUACAUACAUGUCAAUAUGUCAUAGUAUGAUGUCAAAUAGCAAGCUAAUUGAUAAUAUAUUAUGUAAGUAUUUUUUUAUUCUAAAGGUAAAUGAAAACAAUGCAAUAAACCUGUAUUUUUUAAAUAUAAAUUAAAGAUUUCUACAUUAAUUCUUAAUUUGAACAGUAUAGAAGCUAUUUAUUUUUAUUUGAAUUUAUAUAUUAAACUAAUCAUAGCAAAACUUUAGGAACAGGGAGAAAAGUAUGUACCUUCACGAGAAAGGUACCCAUUUCACUACCUAGACUAAAUAAAAAAUACAUCUAGUAGUUUUGUAUCAAUGUAAAAAGUAUUUUAACACAGAGAUAAACUGGAUUAUGAUAAUAAUAGCUUCACAUAGUAGCGCACUGACUGGAACAUUGCCCUGCAUUGCAAUAUAAUGUAGUGCUUGCAUUUUGUUGAUGUGCUAUUCUGGUCAGAAUUACAAUCUUGUUUCGGAAAUACAACGAAGUUUUUUAUGCAGCAAUUUGAAUCGUACAAUUUCAGAAGAGAUAAAUCAUACUAGUAGUAGAUACCUCGUUUUAUCUCAAAUAAACUAUUAUGCAUGUUAUAAGCUGUGGACAGUAAUCUCCGAAGGGGUACUCAGAGGUGACUCGCAAGCGACCCACCCGUUUUUUCGGUGUACAUUUGUAUACUCAAAUGAUAGGUCGCGAGCAGUAUCGCAGUUUUAGAAUGUGUACAAUGUACUUAGAGUACACAUCUCUAGGAUCUACAUGUGCACUGCAUUGUGCAGAUGUCCUCACGAUGUUUUCCUUCACCGUAGUACCACUUUUUAUCAGUGAACUUAAAUUCAUUAAUUGAAAAGAUUGAAUUUGGUUCGGGCGUGUGCCCGGAUUCGAACCACAACCUCUAGAAUGAGAGGCAUAGAGCUAAUCCGUUAUGCUACCAUAGGUCAAAUACACUGUACUGGCACAUAAUCAGAAAUAGGUAAGUACAUCAUUUUUAUUACAAACAUGAUUAUUUUAUAAAAUUAAUUAUAUCCAAUCACAAGCAAAUCCAAAUGAACUACUAGUGUUGACUAAAUAUCGUAUUACAAUUUAAAAGAAACUUAAUCAGAGUCAUCAUUUCAUUUCCCAUAAUUUUGGUAAAAUGCUAACUUGCAGUAUACAUGAUCAACUUUUCUUUGUGUGAGUGAAAAUAAUCAUAUCGAUCGAUUGAUUUAAAUUUGACGGAAAUCAAAAGAAAAAUUAUAUUUCAUCAGCGAAGUGCACAGUGAUCGGUGCUCGACGUCUUCCCUCUCCAUUACCUACCAGUUACGAGAAAAAAUGUACGUAAGUUAUAUUUUCAUAAUCUCUGAUUUUUACCAUUGACGCAAAAAGUGGGUGAUAUGUGUUUGAAACCGCUGUCUGUCUGUCACAUCGGUCAACAAAUUUUAGUACGUUUAUUUUUAUUCAAGUCAAGAAGUUCAAAAGUUUUUGAGACUUUUAGCGUUGAAUUUCGGGUUUUAACGUGGUUAGCCUAUUAUUAUGAUCUACCAAUAAGUACUCAAGAUUUGAUUGAAUGUAAACACGAUGUCUCUUCUUUAUUGCAGGUCUGACGGUGAGGGAUUUUAUUCUUCCGAGGAAGAACUGCCACGGCGUCGUCCCGUGAAGCCUGCAGCGCUGAGCGCCGCGCCGAGCACGUCUACUGCUCCCGCCCCAACUCCAUCCGGCUCAAGGAAGCGGAAGACUAAAGCUUCCGAAUCCGCUUCCGAAAGUAGAGCAGCAAUCAAUAAGGGCAAACAAAAAAUUGACCUGGCGACAUACAAUCGUCGCAAAGCAACUGUGGCGGCGCUGUUCGGUGGGUCGGAUGACGAGGCGGAGGCUGCAGCGGCACUGAACAACCCGAUUCAAGAGCUGGAGAGCAGCUUAACCCGAAAAGUUGGGGAUGGGUCGUUGCGGCGAACCGCAAAAUUAGACGGAAGCCUGUUCUGCGAACUUCGUGUUUACGAAGUUCGCGAUAUAAAAAACAUAUCCCCACGGGACCGGUGGACUAAAGCGUACACCAGUCUUAAGUAUCAAUUCGAUUAUGAUAGUCCGGAAUGGACUAACAUAAUCGAAUUCAUUCGGGUUGCGAAGACCCGAUUUACACAGGAGCCAAUAUACUAUCCGAAUAAGAAGUAAAUCUUAGUUGGAUAGUAUAUGUUGCAGAAAAUCGAAUUAAAGUUAAUCGUCUUUAAAAAUAAAAACUACAAAAUAUGUUUAAAUUAUUAAAUAUUGUUCGUUGCUAAUUUAUUUAAUUUAAAUAUUAAUUAAAUUUUACCUUACAUAUUUUACAGAUACCUAAUAUUUUUUAUCGAUGAUUAACUUUAUUUAGGCUUUCUGAAACCGGCUCCUAACUAGGUUAUAGCGGUAUACCAAAUACCUUAUUUUUAACUACUUUAUCUUACUGAAAAUAUAUAAUAAAAUAUAAUAUAACUUAA